GAUCCUGGCUCAGGACGAACGCUGGCGGCGUGCUUAACACAUGCAAGUCGAACGCUGAAGCCCAGCUUGCUGGGUGGAUGAGUGGCGAACGGGUGAGUAACACGUGAGUAACCUGCCCCCUUCUUUGGGAUAACGCCCGGAAACGGGUGCUAAUACUGGAUAUUCACUGGCCUUCGCAUGGGGGUUGGUGGAAAGGUUUUUUCUGGUGGGGGAUGGGCUCGCGGCCUAUCAGCUUGUUAGUGGGUGAUGG
rnacentral:rRNA from 1 species